rnacentral:misc_RNA from 1 species
UUUAAGGAAAUGUUUUUGUGAUGGUAGAGUCCAUCAUAUGAUUCAGUUCAUGAGAUUUUCAUAUAGAAAAGGAUUUUGGUGAUAUUCAGAGGUAGCUGUGCCUGUUGUGCCAUGUGAUGGGUCAAACCUCAAGUCAAGCAGACUCCCCCGUGGUGCCUGUGGGGGCACUGCAGGCUCACCUGGACGUGCUGAAGAGGGUAGCUCACCUGACCUACGAGGAGUUCUGCCAGUCAGUGCUGGAGCUCAAUCAAAUCACCAAGACCUUCACUGACCACCGUGGGAAACAGCUGCAGUUUCUUGUGAAGAAGGGCUCGGACUCCACUGUCCUGUGGAAGGCCACGGUCAGGGUCAGGUGCAUGAAGGUAAACACCCAUACCAACAAGUUUGAGUCAUCGCGAUUGUUGUCACUGCGACAGUUUAUCGUCAUGUACCGUGAGAUUGCGGAGCAAGUCGACAACCUGUCGGCCGUAAAACCACUCCUUGGAUCAACUCCUAUCGACAUCACAGCUUCAAAGAUAUUUGAUGAGGUGGCGUCGUCGAACCUAGGCGUGGCAGAUGAGAACGAGUGUUGUAUAUGUAUGGACCGGAAGUCUGAGAUUAUCCUCUCCUGCAACCAUGAGUUCUGUGAGACUUGCAUCGACUCCUGGAACGUGGCACACAACACCUGCCCGCUGUGUCGGUGUAAAGUGGAAAGUACCGAUGACACCUGGGUCCUGGCCGAGAAGCCCCAGAGCUCAGACUACGAGUCAGAAGUCAAGGGAUACCUGGUUGGGCUGGCAGAUCGGAUGCAUGAACCUCGUCAUUGAUGCAAUAAAACUCCUCGGCUCAUCAUUACUCACCAUCAUAUAUCCAGACACUUAGGUCUAACAUGUGGAGACUGACAACAUUCUACAACAAGGGAAGCCCAUCAAGCCGCCUGCAGCUAUAUGUUGUAUUGGUACUUCUUAGAAUGGCAAUGCGUGACUGUUUUUCCUGGUGUUUUCACAUAACAUAUUGGUCAUGUUCUAUCUUUUAUUGUUUCUAACACCACCAGGUAUUGAAGUAAACAGGCAGUAUUUAUACCAGGUUGGAUAUUUGUUUCUGCAGUAUUUGAUGUUCCUGAUAUUUAUUAAUACUCUAAGGUAUAUUGAAACAUAUGCCAAAUGCAUCCACAUUAUAUUGCAGAACUGAGCAGCAAACAGUCAUUACAUCUUGGGUACUCAUUUUUGAAGAUGCACUGAGGGCAUAAUGACUGGUUCAUUGCUGUCUUUGAGCUGGGACAUUUCUAUCCAGUAUACUCUAGAAACUGCUUUAACUAAUACGUGUACCUGGAGUGCCCUUCUGUUCAAUGCUUGUUAUCUUUGCACAGUGAAAGAUCAUGAAUGAUAACUCUUGUUAUGAUUUGUUUCAGUUAAUAGUAUUUUUGAUUACAGCUUCAGUCUUGCAGCUUUACUAUGUUUAUCCCUGGAAAGCAGGAUAGAUUACAAGAUGAUAUAUUUCCUGUCUAGAAGAGCAGGCUACUGAGUUAAGGUCUCCAAAUCAGUUUUGGAGUUGAGAUGUUUUCAUCCUGUAUGUCCUUUCCCAGACAUUAAUCUAUUACUUCUGUAUGGUAUAUGUUCUACAUUUUGCUGUAUUUUUGUUGAUAAUGUUAGAUUUGUGUUGACCUCCCAAUUCUGUAUAUGUUUGCGACAUGGUAGCCAUGUUUGUAGUUGUUGUAGUAGUACUGGGAAACAGACUUCAGUCUGUUGUACUUCUAUCUCCUUGUUCUAGUACUGUCUGUUAUGUUAAGGUAGGGAAGCUAAAGCACGGUGAUGUGUCAGGUAAAUAUCAAAACAUUUAUCCUGAAAUGCUCAUUUAAUGAAAUGAUGACGUUAUAAGUCAUAACAUACAUGCUUUACCUAACUUAUUGUUUAUAAUGUGAUAGUGAUAAUCAGCUUGCUCAUGACUGUCGAGACAUACAACUGCAUGAACUAGCGGAGUAGGGACAGGUGGACCAACAGCUUCAUCAAUUCGGGGGGAACCUGGAUGUACAGAAAUUAUUAAUAACUAGAUAGGUGAUAGUGUUGACAUGUUGUUUAAGUUACUGCAAGACAGUUGUUGUUGUUGUUGUUGUUGUUACAAGUGCUGUUGUUUUCAACUAAUUAGCAGCUUUACAAAAUAGAACUGCUUUAUAGCUUUGUAAAAAUUUGACCACUGCCGUGAUUUUAAAAAAAACUUGUACUGAAAGAUUAUUGGCAUUAGAAAUUGUUCUUCCAUAAACUUCUUCCCAAAUAACCCCCAUAAACUUUCUUUAAAAGAUUAAAGGUCAAAGUCAUGACAAAUAAAUUUUAAAAAUCUAUGUGAUUACACAAUGUAAAAUGAUGUUGAUGCAUUUAUUAACAACUUGGUCUGUACCCUCCCUGGAGUAGGACCAUGCUUUGAAGAAUAUUUGGGGGAGGUUUGCUGGAGUCCUGUCGGUUGGAAUCUGAAGUAUUUCUUCUAGUAUGGAAUAUGAGUUUUCGUGAAGGUUUGAAAUGAUCUUCUGGCAAUAUAUGUACAGCAUUGUAUAUACUGAUAACAGUCUGUAAGAUUAAUGUAUUUAGUGGAAGUGUUUUUUGUUGUUGCUUUUUUUUCCAGUACCAAUAGUCCCAAGUUCCUGCAAAAUACUGUCAAAGUACCUUAUUUAGGGUGCUUUCUGUAAAUAUUAUAUGUCUUUUUGAGGGCAGUGUUAGAUGUCUAUGGGUUCAAAUUCUGCUAAAGAAUUCUGCACAGCCGUUGUAUUUGUUCCAUUACAAGAAUACAAAAAGAGAUUGCAAGUACUGGGAAGCAAGAUCGGGAACUGAGAACAAAAAAUAAGAUCAUGUUUAGCCACAAUAUGAGUUGUAUAUUCUUCCAUGAUGCAUUGAAAACGUUUUGACAUGGAGGUUUGUUUGUAACAUGAAGCUAUGUGUUUCUUGUUAUGGCUGUUUAAGUUGUUUCAAUCAAACUGUUGUUGUUGUUUUGGUAUUUAAUGUUGCAUAAUUUGUUUAGUAAAUUACAAUUUUGUAAAAAAGGUCAUUGAUUAUUCUUUGAAAUUAUAUGACCGAAAAGGCGUCCAUUAUUGAGUUAAAGAGUUUAGAGCAAAUGUGUGUUUUCUUAAAUUCUUCAGUAUGUAUAGAUUUGCCCUAUACUUUGUUAUAUGUUGUUUGAAAAAUGAAUGAAAUGAAAAGUGGCUUGCAUAGAAGUUUGAUAACUCUAUGGUAGGUGAUUCCAAGGGGACAUAACUCUCGUACCAUCAAUCCCAGCAUCAGUUAAACAGAUUGUAUGUUAUAUGUUAUGAAGUGAUAUUGUUAUCAAAGCCACUAGUGAUUUGGUUUGGGUUGCACAGUAUUCUGUGAUGACAAAAAAAAAUACCUGACUUUCACUUAAUUCAUACUGAGUGGGAUUUUAGGACAUUUUGGCAUUUUUGCUCUAUUCAGUGGUAUAGUGAGGCAUUCAAUGGUACUUGGGCAUAUGGUAUACAGCCUUUAUACCUGGUGUGGCAGGUUGUUUAUUUGUUAGCUUUGUUUACUGAUCACCUGACUCAAACAGUAAGAAUGUUAAUAAUCAUUAACAAACAAUAAUUAUUCUAGUUUGACAAUGCCCAAGCAUGACAAUCACUCAGCUAGAUAUGUCACAAAUUGUUUUCCCUGUCCUGACAGGUAAGUGUUGCAUGCUCAGUAACCUGGGCAUGUUCAGUCAGAGAAUUAUACAUACAGCCCAUCUUCCCCAUUCAAGGGAGUUAUCUGACUAUAUAAGUCAAGUUUCCACCCUUGCCGAAUUAGUCUGAAAUUUUUAGGCAUGAUGCCACCUCCAGUGGCUUUUAUGAGUUAUAUCCUUUCCUUGACCUUCCUACUGACCAAUCAGAUUCCACCUCUCACAUCUCAUAUGCAUUUGCUUCAAACAAAAUGGCUGCCUCUGAUCUCAGUUAUAAUGAAGCCCUUUAUUGCAAUAUUGGAAACAUGUCUUACUGUGGUAAGUGCAUCUAAUCUCUUAGGAACCUUGAUUAAAAUCAUAAGAUUUGGAAAAUAUCUGUCAACACCCAAUUAACAAUACACAUGCACUGUUUGUACCUGUAGUUGUUGAAACCUGGGCCCCGUUGCACAAAGCGAUCGUAGCGCUAAGGUCAUCAUAACGCCCAUACGUUAGUGUAGGCUUACGGUAGCCAUAGCGCUAAGAUCGCUCCGUGCAACGGCCCUGUUUGGCAGUUUUGGCAGAGCCAUUAGUCCAGCCAAAAUAUAUCUCCAUAAUAUUAGCCGGGUUAGGCAAAGGUGGAAACCAGACUCUGAUAGUCAGUUACCUCCCCUGUGUCAGGAAGAUGGCACAUUUAUGACAGAUACCUUCCUUUGUACUUCAAGUAGUGUCUGGUUUGUUCCUUCUUCAUAUGAUGCUGUCUUCUUCCUGAGAUAUGGUGAUAUUAUCUCUAUUGAUAGUGUGAUAAAUUCUGACAUGACGGUGAUAUUUAUUCAGAAUGAACUAUAAUAUGCUUUCCGACAGAACUGUGAUAUUUCAGUGUUAUAGAUAGUAUUAUAUUACAAUAGAUGUGUAAAUGUUGUUGAUGUAAUCGUAACCGUAACUAGCAUACCGUUGUAAAUCAUAGCUUGCUUACAGGUGUAUGCCUUAAGGUGCGUUCUCAUGGUGCGACUUUUAAUAUCAACUA